AACGAACGCUGGCGGCAUGCCUAACACAUGCAAGUCGAACGAGACCUUCGGGUCUAGUUGCGCACGGGUGCGUAACGCGUGGGAACCUUCCCUUAGGUUCGGAAUAACUCCCCGAAAGGGGUGCUAAUACCGGACAAUUUCUUCUGACCAAAGAUUUAUCGCCUUGGGAUGGGCACGCGUGGGAUUAGCUAGUUGGUAGGGUAAAAGCCUACCAAGGCGACGAUCCAUAGCUGGUCUGAGAGGAUGAUCAGCAACACUGGGACUGAGACACGGCCCAGACUCCUACGGGAGGCAGCAGUGGGGAAUAUUGGACAAUGGGCGAAAGCCUGAUCCAGCAAUGCCGCGUGAGUGAUGAAGGCCUUAGGGUUGUAAAGCUCUUUUAACCGGGAUGAUAAUGACAGUACCGGGAGAAUAAGCGCCGGCUAACUCCGUG
rnacentral:rRNA from 1 species